rfam:Nipponia nippon contig33034, whole genome shotgun sequence.
UCAAAGGCGCCACUUGGCGCCACUGUUUAUAGGGUCAUGAGAUGAUU